CUAUGCGCCUUGCCAGCCCGCUCAGUCAGAGUUUGAUCCUGGCUCAGGAUGAACGCUAGCGGCAGGCCUAAUACAUGCAAGUCGAACGAGCUUAGUUCUUUCGGGAACUAGGUUAGUGGCGCACGGGUGCGUAACGCGUAUGCAACUUACCUUCCACAGGGGGAUAGCCCACCGAAAGGUGGAUUAAUACCGCAUAACACCAUGAAGCGGCAUCGCUUUAUGGUCAAAGAUUUAUCGGUGGAAGAUGGGCAUGCGUGCCAUUAGUUAGUUGGUAGGGUAAUGCCUACCAAGACUUCGAUGGCUAGGGGUUCUGAGAGGAUGGUCCCCACACUGGUACUGAGACACGGACCAG
rnacentral:rRNA from 1 species